UCUCUCCCCCCUUUCUUUAAAAGUGGCUUCCCUCCAGUCCACAGUCCAGACCAGUGUCGAGAGAAAUUGGAAAAUGAUCACCAAUGCAUCCACAAUUUCUAGGGCCACCUCCUUGAGUACUCUGGGAUGCCGACCAUCAGGCCCUGGGGAUUUAUCUGCCUUCAGUCCCAACAGCUUACCAAAACCAUUUCCUGACAAAUGUGGAUUCUCUUCAUUUCCUCCCCCCCACUAGAUCCUCGGUCCCCCAGUAGUAUUUCUGGGAGAUUGUUUGUGUCUUCCUCAGACUGAAGACAGAACCAAAGUACUUGUUUAAGUGUUCUGC